rnacentral:miRNA from 1 species
UGGUGGGCACAGAAUCUGGACU